GAUAAAAGUAACACAAAACUUCACUAAAAAGUUGUGCAACUUUCCUAAUUUGGUAGAAGAGAUAAAUGUUUGCAAGUUUGCACAUUCUCCUCUUUNNNNNNNNNNCACCAAGUAGUGCAAUAAAUGACCAGCCACAGCAGUCUGUCACGGCAGUCUCCCGUUCUUACCUGCAACAGCAAAGGAACAUGCUGAGAGAGGUGGCGUGUGAGGCUACUACUGGAAGGUUUCCAGACCUAUUCAUGCUGGCAGCUCUAUUCUUAACAGCCAAGAGAGACCUCUUACCCAGCAUCUGAUCUUUACAGCAAGAAAAGAUACUGAACUGUUUACAAGGUCAUACUGAUCUAAGAAGAUAUGACAGUGAAACCUUACUACUCCAUGCAAGUGAAACAAGGGUAGCUGUACUUAUUCUGGAAGAAACAGAUGAGUCGAAGGCUCUGCCAUUUUGUCUGAACAAGCCAGGGUAUCUUCAUGGAGAAUUUGGAAAUACCUUAAUCAACUCAAUUAUCUGUUAUUUUAAAUUAAUUCAAUAUGGCUAUAAUCAAAUACUAUAUGGUAGCUGAAUUUUAUAUAGACUAGUUGGAUAACUAUUUUAAGUGUGAUUCGAGAUGACAUUUACUAGAUCGCAGCAUAAAUUGGAGUUGUCCUGGAAUUUAAUAUAUCACAAUAAAAUAAAUUUUCUCAAUGGAUGUGGUAAAGCA
rnacentral:lncRNA from 1 species